GAAAACGUUGAUUGGUUGAGCUCAGUUGAAGUAAUCUCUAUCGUCUAUAAUCUCUGCAUAGGUAUUUCAUAGGAGAUGUCAUCCCUUACGUUACAAUGAGAGCUAGCACAUGUAUUAGUUGCAUAUCUGAAACUAUGACCUUGAGAAGAAAACUCUAGGUUUAAGAAUUUAAAAGGAGACGCUGCGACGUGCAAGUGGCUUUUGGCGUUAAGAAUCGG
rnacentral:lncRNA from 1 species